rnacentral:rRNA from 1 species
AGCGAACGCUGGCGGCACGCCUAACACAUGCAAGUCGAACGAAGUAGCAAUACUUAGUGGCAGACGGGUGAGUAACAUGUGGGUAUCUACCCUUUGGCCUGGAAUAACACGAGGAAACUUGUGCUAAUACCGGAUAAGUCUUUACGGAGAAAGCUUUAUGCACCAUUGGAUGAGCCCGCACUUGAUUAGUUUGUUGGUAGGGUAAUGGCCUACCAAGACUAUGAUCAAUAGCUGAUUUGAGAGGAUGAUCAGCCACAUUGGGACUGAGACACGGCCCAAACUCCUACGGGAGGCAGCAGUGGGGAAUCUUGCACAAUGGAGGAAACUCUGAUGCAGCGAUGCCGCGUGAGUGAAGAAGGCCUUUGGGUUGUAAAGCUCUUUCGUCGGGGAAGAAAAUGACUGUACCCGAAUAAGAAGGUCCGGCUAACUUCGUGCCAGCAGCUGCGGUAAUACGAAGGGACCUAGCGUAGUUCGGAAUUACUGGGCUUAAAGAGUUCGUAGGUGGUUGAAGAAGUUGGUUGUGAAAUCCCAGAGCUUAACUCUGGAACUGCCAUCAAAACUUUUCAGCUAGAGUAUGAUAGAGGAAAGCAGAAUUUCUAGUGUAGAGGUGAAAUUCAUA